UAAUCUAAAUGUAAUAUAUGGAAAUUUUAUGAACUGCUUUGAAAUCUCCUAAAAGUAAUUUUUUCAAAGAGUAGUUCAGACCAACCCAGACCUCUUGCUUCUUGACGGAGCAAGUAAGCUAGCUAGCUCUGGGUUAAUGUUCACACCAGGGUGAUAAGGCCUGAUGGGAGUUUGCUGUGGACGCUGAGCUGGGCCCAGGGACUUCACCACCAAAGGACAAGGUCGCUAUUGUGAAUCCUGCUUUACAGAGCAGGACAGAGGCCCAGAGAGCAAACCUGCCCAAGACCACACAGCUAGUAUGUGGCCGAACUGGGACUGGAGCCCAGAUCUUUGACACCAAAAUUAAUGUGUGUCCCUCUGUCUCGCGGCUUUUCAGAUGGAUCACACAGGAACGGGAUGAAAUAAUGUGAAAACCACUGCCAAUGUGAGCUGGAAAUCCACGGACACAGAAUGCCCACCCACUGGUCACUCCUCACCAGGUCCCACCCUACUUAUCUAAAACAGGAUGAUCUACAUCACCCUUGGGAAACAAGGGAUUACUCUGGCAAGGAACUUUUGCGGCAAGUCACAGAGAAUCAGCUAGUCCCAGUGUACCAUCUGACGUGCAGCUUGACACAGGGACGUGGCACUUACAUUGGCUGCCUCCCCUAUCAGACUGUGAAGUCUGUGACGGCAUCCCCAAGCCCACAGGAUCCAGAGCUUCCAGCAGAACAGAAGCCCCAUAUAUAUGAGUUGUUGCAAGUAGAAAUGAAAUAAACAUUUUUACAGUAAAGCCA